ACAAAAAAGAGAAAAGAAAAAAUAAGGAAGAAAAUUGAACAGUUGGACCAGCCAACAGACUGAAACACAGCUGAAACCACUCUGCCCUCCCCUAGAAGUCAAACCCAUGAAGCGCUCCACAGUCCACAGACCAAGCAGGCGGUGAGACCUGUGCUCCUGAAGAGCAAGGCUGGCCCAGCUCAGCGGGGCCCAGUGCAACGGCUCCACUCUCCACCAGAUGGUACUGCCAGCCCACUGGGGUGGAUUGCUGCAGUGCCCAUGCGCAGAGCCAUGAAACCACGUCACCCAGCCACCCAGUUUCCAGCAUAAGAACCCUGUUCUCCCGAUCAGCAUUCGCACACCUGUCCUUUGUCCUCGGCCUCCACCCAAUCCCCACUUCUACACUGUCAGUGACCAAGCCCCAGACAGCACCCCUCUCCCGAGCCCUACCCCAGAUGCGGCUGCCUUCCCCUGCCCCCCACCUCUGAGGGUCUGUGGCUCUUACUGAUCUGCCCCACUCCGGAGGGUCCCACCAAGCAAUGGCCGGAUGUCGGUGGUACCCAGGAACUCCGGGGACUGCACUGCUGCUGGUGCCCAGAGACCACUGCCAGGCGCCAGCCCACCCCAGAAAAAGUUUGCGAGGCAGUGUAGCAGCACGCCCUAGGGACCAUGGAAAAAUCACAACACAUACCUGGCACCGGGCUUCACCCCCAAUGACCCUGCUCCAGCACCAGCAAAGGAGGCCACCCUCUGGGGUCUGCUGGGCCCAGGUGGCCUCACAGCCUCCACCAAAUGUCCCUUUAGCAGUGGAACUGCCUCUCCCCCUGUGGCCCAAGAACCUCCCAGAUCCCACUUUAUUCCCUGGGACCCACCUCUCCCACCAGAGCACCGCCAGGCAUGGAGCUGCAGAGCCCCAGACUCCACGGUCCUGCCUCCACUCCGCCCACAGUCCCAACGGAUUUCAAACCCUCUCCCUUCUCCCUCCCACCUCCAGGUCUGUCCCUGCAGCUGUCUCCAAUCCUCCACCCUCUGUCCAGCCUCCUGGGGAGGGGGUGCCCUUCCCACACUCUUUCCCGCCCCUGCCAUGCAAAAGUGGCCCCGACAUCUGCAGCUUCCCUCCCCCAAGUUCACCUCUCCACGACCCUCACCGCUGAAGUCCAUGGCCCAGGCCAUGCAGACUGCCGUGUCAAUCCCCAGAUCAGUUUCUAGGCGCAGCAGGAUGGUCCAGUGUUGGUCUGGUGUCACUCCACAGACACAAGAUACACAAAAAACCUCCAUGCUGUUCUGCCAUCCCAGCUUUCCACUCUCCCCCCUCCCCCCACAACUUCUAAACUUAAUGUCAUUUCAUUCUGAACAUGUGAUUCAACAUGAGAAAAAGAAAAAAUAAGCUCAGGAAUUAACUGAUUUCUCUCUGAUACACCCACAGUAUAAAGGAGCUGCUCAGAUGUUUGCUAAAUGAAGUGGCUGAAUAAUCAGGACCAACCAAAUCAAGGAAGACACAUGACAGAUGUAAUAAUAGACCUCUUGCAAAUAAAAGGUAAGUCCAAUGAUAUUAAGAAAAUACCCAGGAGAAUUUUACAGAAUGUUCUCUCCACUGCGGCUGAGGAAGAGCUCUUAUAUAACUUACAAUGAUACAAGAACCUCAAGGCAUCAACCACAAACUCAGCCUCCAGUGA